GACGAACGCUGGCGGCGUGCUUAACACAUGCAAGUCGAACGGUGAAGCGCCUUCCUUUUUGGUGGGUGUGGAUGAGUGGCGAACGGGUGAGUAACACGUGAGUAACCUGCCCCCUUCUUCUGGAUAACCGCAUGAAAGUGUGGCUAAUACGGGAUAUUCUGGGUCUGUCGCAUGAUGGGUCUGGGAAAGAUCUUGUUUCGGUGGGGGAUGGGCUCGCGGCCUAUCAGCUUGUUGGUGGGGUGAUGGCCUACCAAGGCGGUGACGGGUAGCCGGCCUGGGAGGGUGGACGGUCACACUGGGACUGCGACGCGGCCCAGACUCCUACGGGAGGCAGCGGUGGGGAAUAUUGCACAAUGGGCGCAAGCAUGAUGCAGCGACGCCGCGUGAGGGAUGGAGGCCUUCGGGUUGUGAACCUCUUUCGCCAGUGAAGCAGGCCUGCCUCGUUUGUGGGUGGGUUGACGGUAGCUGGAUAAGAAGCGCCGGCUAACUACGUG
rnacentral:rRNA from 1 species